UCUGGCAGUUGUUGUUCUCUUUGACAUCUGGUGGGAGGGCAUUCCACAGGGCAGGCACCACUACCGAGAAGGCCCUCUGCCUGGUUCCCUGUAACUUGGCUUAUCGCAGUGAGGGAACCACCAGAAGGCCCUUAGAGCUGGACCUCAGUGUCUGGGCUGAAUGAUGGAGGUGGAGACGCAGAGUGACUGGAGCAGCUUAGUCAGUUGGAAGGGGUGCAAGUAUCACCACCACCACCACCUUCAUCAUCAUAUCGAGGGGGCAGGGGCAGAGAAGGAAAUUUGCACAUUAUCCCCAGGGAGAGCUCAAUGAUGAGAAUGUUCUGAGUCCUCCUAUACUAGGAGCCUGGAACAGUUCCUGUCAUCACGUGCAUCGCAACCAGAUCACUCAUGCACAGAGCUUACCUGUCAGUAUAUCACAAAAAAAUACAAAUAGGUGGACAUUCAACCUUCCAGGAGGCACAGAACUAUCAUCAGAGUAUUUUGCUUCAGUAGUCUGCUCUUGCUGCUCAACUUGAGAUCCAAGUCAAGUUUCAACAAUGAGUUUGCGCUGGCUGUUCAUGGUUGCCCUUCUGUUUUCUGGGAUGCUUCUGUCUUCUCCAGGAAAGGAUUAUAUAAUUAAAGGUAAAGAAGCAUGUAUCAAGGAAGGAGGUCAUUGUGCUGGAGAAUUCUGUCCUUCAGGUCACACGGAAUUAAAGUUAUGCUAUGACAAUGUACCUUGCUGCAUACCCUCUUAAGAGCAAGUCAGGAUGGAAUGGAAAUAA
rnacentral:lncRNA from 1 species